rnacentral:rRNA from 1 species
GUGAGGAAUAUUGCGCAAUGGAGGCAACUCUGACGCAGCCAUGCCGCGUGCAGGAAGAAGGCGCUACGCGUUGUAAACUGCUUUUGUACGGGAAGAAACACUCCCUCGUGAGGGAGCUUGACGGUACCGUAAGAAUAAGGAUCGGCUAACUCCGUGCCAGCAGCCGCGGUAAUACGGAGGAUCCAAGCGUUAUCCGGAAUCAUUGGGUUUAAAGGGUCCGUAGGCGGUUUAAUAAGUCAGUGGUGAAAGCCCAUCGCUCAACGAUGGAACGGCCAUUGAUACUGUUAGACUUGAAUUACAAGGAAGUAACUAGAAUAUGUAGUGUAGCGGUGAAAUGCUUAGAUAUUACAUGGAAUACCAAUUGCGAAGGCAGGUUACUACUUGUGGAUUGACGCUGAUGGACGAAAGCGUGGGGAGCGAACAGGAUUAGAAACCCUUGUAGUCC